CAGCCGCCGCGGGAAUACGUAGGUGGCAAGCGUUGUCCGGAAUUAUUGGGCGUAAAGGGCUCGCAGGCGGUUUCUUAAAUCUGAUGUGAAAGCCCCCGGCUCAACCGGGGAGGGUCAUUGGAAACUGGGAAACCUGAGUGCAGAAGAGGAGAGUGGAAUUCCACGUGUAGCGGUGAAAUGCGUAGAGAUGUGGAGGAACACCAGUGGCGAAGGCGACUCUCUGGUCUGUAACUGACGCUGGGGAGCGAAAGCGUGGGGAGCGAACAGGAUUAGAUACCCCCGUAGUCCCUGUCUCUUAUAC
rnacentral:rRNA from 1 species